rnacentral:rRNA from 1 species
GACGAACGCUGGCGGCGUGCUUAACACAUGCAAGUCGAACGGAAAGGCCCUGCUUGCAGGGUACUCGAGUGGCGAACGGGUGAGUAACACGUGGGUGAUCUGCCCUGCACUUCGGGAUAAGCCUGGGAAACUGGGUCUAAUACCGGAUAGGAGCCAUUUUUAGUGUGAUGGUUGGAAAGUUUUUUCGGUGUAGGAUGAGCUCGCGGCCUAUCAGCUUGUUGGUGGGGUAAUGGCCUACCAAGGCGGCGACGGGUAGCCGGCCUGAGAGGGUGGACGGCCACAUUGGGACUGGGGGACGGCCCAGACUCCUACGGGAGGGAAAAGUGGGGAAUAUUGCACAAUGGGCGCAAGCCUGAUGCCGCGACGCCGCGUGGGGGAUGACGGCCUUCGGGUUGUAAACUCCUUUCGCUAGGGACGAAGCUUUUUGUGACGGUACCUAGAUAAGAAGCACCGGCUAACUACGUG